AAUAGCGUAUAUUAAAGUUGCUGCAGUUAAAAAGCUCGUAGUUGGAUCUCGGUUGCACUGUAUCCUACCAUUGCUCGUUCAGUUGAGUCUUGCUGCAUGCUUACGUGUGCGCUUGGCUUGCUGUUCUGAGUUGGUGUGGAAGCGGUGUUACCUUUCAGUCAUGUCUGUGGUGCAAUACCCACAGGUGUAGGUGAGUGUCAGGCGUGGCUUAGCUUCCGGUUAGGCCCGUCGGCUCGCCUGCAUGCUGGUAGAUGCCCUUCACCGGGUGUCUGCUGGCGGAUGGCACGUUUACUUUGAACAAAUUUGAGUGCUCAAACCAGGCCGAUGUUGCCUGAAAAGUUUUGCAUGGAAUAAUGGAAUAGGACUUCGGUUCUAUUUCGUUGGUUUUCGGAUCCGAAGUAAUGAUCAAAAGAGACAGGCGGGGACGUUUGUAUGCCUGCGUGAGAGGUGAAAUUCAUGGAUCGUAGGCAGACAGACAAAAGCGAAAGCAUUCGUCAAGCAUGUUUUCAUUGACCAUGAGCGAAAGUCAGAGGCUCGAAGACGAUCAGAUAC
rnacentral:rRNA from 1 species